rnacentral:rRNA from 1 species
UUGGAGGGCAAGUCUGGUGCCAGCAGCCGCGGUAAUUCCAGCUCCAAUAGCGUAUAUUAAAGUUGUUGCAGUUAAAAAGCUCGUAGUUGAAUUUCGGGGUCAGUAGGUUGGUCAUGCCACUGGUAUGUACUGGUCUCACUGAUUCCUCCUUCCUGAUGAACUGUAAUGCCAUUAAUUUGGUGUUGCAGGGAAUCUGGACUGUUACUUUGAAAAAUUAGAGUGUUUAAAGCAGGCUCACGCUUGAAUACAUUAGCAUGGAAUAAUGAAAUAGGACGUUUGAUUCUAUUUUGUUGGUUUCUAGGAUCGACGUAAUGAUUAAUAGGGAUAGUUGGGGGCAUUAGUAUUCAAUUGUCAGAGGUGAAAUUCUUGGAUUUAUUGAAGACUAACUACUGCGAAAGCAUUUGCCAAGGAUGUUUUCAUUAAUCAAGAACGAAAGUUAGGGGAUCGAAGACGAUCAGAUACCGUCGUAGUCUUAACCAUAAACUAUGCCGACUAGGGGAUCGGGAUGAUGUUAAUUUUUAAUGACU